GUGACAUUACGGGGCCUUUGGCUAUCACAUCUGCAAACCCUAGUGGUGAACCUGACAGCACACAUCAUGACAUGAUUAUUAACCGCCUUGGACACAAGAUCCAAGGAGUACUGUGUGAUGGGAAUUCCAAUGAGCUGGUAGGGUCAACAGUGGUCAGUUGCCUGAAAAUUGACGAAGGUACCAUAAAUAUUGUGCGUGAAGGUUGUGUCCCUGCGGCAAAGGUGCAGCAGAUUUUUGAGCGGGUGAAGAACAGCAUGUUAUAAGAAAUGAAGCUACACAUUAAUCCUGUAAAAAAAAAGGCAAAAAGUUUGACAGCUGCAGUAUCCUGUAUAUUAUUGGCAAAUUAUUUUUAUAAGAGAAAAUAUGAUGGGUUUUUUUUUUUUUUUUGACAUUGUGGGAUAAACAUGCCCAGCAGUGCUGGCUGAAUUCUAUCUUUCUCUCUCUCUCUCUCUCUCUCUAUAUAUAUAUAUAAUUACUGCUUUCUUAUUGUUGUCUUGUGAAUAUUAAUAUAUAAAUAUGCUAUAACAGUAUUGUUUUUUUUUCUAGCAUCAUUGUAUAGAACAACAUAGACAAUAAAUUAUAUACAACAUAAUUUUUUUUUCUGAUUUGUGCCCUGGAGUGUGAGAAAUAAAGCAUAAAUAAAGAUUUUUUCUUCUGCUUCUUUAUUAUUAUUAUUAUUAUUAUUAUUAUUAUUAUUAGUAGUAGUAGUAGUAGUAGUAGUAGUAGUAGUCAUUUGUUAUUUGACCAAUUUCUUUUAACCAUGGGAUAUGAUAAUACAAAAAGGCAAUUAAGAUAUUCAUACACAAAGCACUAAAAAAAGAACAUCAUAUUUUAACUAUAAAAUAUUUUGAAAUCAACUAUUUUUUUUUUUGUGAGUUAAAACAUCUAAUAAUGAAACAUCAUUAUGACCUGCUGCUUCAAGAAAACUGGCAAAUAAAAUAAAAUAAAAUAAAAAUAAACAAGAAUAAAAUAAAUAAAUAAUAAUAAUAAUAAAAAGUUUGCAUACAUUGCAUACAUACAUACUGAUUGCAAGACACAUUGCCACUAGCCCAAGUACACUAUAUGGCCACUAAAUGCAGACACCUGACCAUCACACCCAUAUGUCCUUGCUGAACCAUUAAAAAAAAAAAGGGUUUUUAUAAUGUUAUAAUGUUGUAUA